rnacentral:lncRNA from 1 species
UAGGUGAUGUAUAAAGAACAGAAAUUUGUUUCUUCUACUGGUACCAAAACAGAGAUAUAGACCAAUGGAAGAGAACAGAGCCAUCAGAAAUAAUGCCGCAUAUCUACAACUAUCUGAUCUUUGACAAACCUCACAAAAACAAGCUCCAAAGAGAAAGAAGCUUGCCACGCCACACAACGAGGAGCCACACAGGGAGGCGCCAGGGUCAGUCAGAAGGGAGAGGAAGUGAGAGCGCCUUUAUUGUGAUUUCUGCAAAAGAGGAGGCAAGGC